GGCAGGCCUAACACAUGCAAGCNGAGCGGCAGCGGGAAGAUAGCUUGCUAUCUUUGCCGGCGAGCGGCGGACGGGUGAGUAAUGCCUAGGGAUCUGCCCAGUCGAGGGGGAUAACAGUUGGAAACGACUGCUAAUACCGCAUACGCCCUACGGGGGAAAGGAGGGGACCUUCGGGCCUUCCGCGAUUGGAUGAACCUAGGUGGGAUUAGCUAGUUGGUGAGGUAAUGGCUCACCAAGGCGACGAUCCCUAGCUGUUCUGAGAGGAUGAUCAGCCACACUGGGACUGAGACACGGCCCAGACUCCUACGGGAGGCAGCAGUGGGGAAUAUUGCACAAUGGGGGAAACCCUGAUGCAGCCAUGCCGCGUGUGUGAAGAAGGCCUUCGGGUUGCAAAGCACUUUCAGUAGGGANGAAAGGUAGCAGCUUAAUACGCUGUUGCUGUGACGUUACCUACAGAAGAAGGACCGGCUAACUCCGUGCCAGCAGCCGCGGUAAUAC
rnacentral:rRNA from 1 species